rnacentral:rRNA from 1 species
UACGUAGGGCGCAAGCGUUAUCCGGAAUUACUGGGCGUAAAGCGCGCGUAGGCGGCUCUUCAAGUCGAGUGUGAAAGCUCCAGGCUUAACCUGGGAAUUGCGCUUGAUACUGUUGAGCUAGAGUGUGGAAGGGGCUACUGGAAUUCCGUGUGUAGCGGUGAAAUGCGUAGAUAUACGGAGGAACACCAGCGGCGAAGGCGACUACCUGGCCUGUUCUUGACGCUGAGGCGCGAAAGCUAGGGGAGCAAACGGG